rnacentral:ribozyme from 1 species
UCAACGAGCAGACUCAGAAAUGAUGUUGGUGAACCAGAAGGACGUCAACGUAUCCGCAGAGUCGUACGAAGACUUGAUAGAAAUGUU